rnacentral:tRNA from 1 species
AAGUAUGAAGUAAUUAUACAUUUAGUUUCGACCUAAAAAUAAGAGUUAAUAUAACUCCUUACUUU